UAUAUAAACACUAGAUGGCUCAUGGGAGAUUUUCCAGCGUAGCUCACUGGCCGCCAUCUUGCUACAGUCAACAGCUACUCUGGUACGCGCUAUGGUAGCUGUUGUAAGGUUUCCCAAAACCGAGAGAGGAGGAGGCAGUGGGAAGUUGCCCUAAGAAGGCAGGACACUGCUCUGCAGUGAGCACUUCAGUUGUGAGGACUUUGACAGGACGGGGCAGACUGUCCGGCUUAAAGAUGGUGUUGUGCCAACAGUAUUCAACUUCCCAGCUCAUCUUCAAAGGCCGGAAGCAACAAGAAGCACAAC